rnacentral:rRNA from 1 species
UACGUAGGUGGCAAGCGUUGUCCGGAAUUACUGGGUGUAAAGGGAGCGUAGGCGGGAAAGCAAGUUGAAUGUUUAAGGUAUGGGCUCAACCUGUACAAGCGUUCAAAACUGUUUUUCUUGAGUGGAGUAGAGGUAAGCGGAAUUCCUAGUGUAGCGGUGAAAUGCGUAGAUAUUAGGAGGAACACCAGUGGCGAAGGCGGCCUGCUGGGCUUUUACUGACGCUGAGGCUCGAAAGCGUGGGUAGCAAACAGG